rnacentral:tRNA from 1 species
GGUCUCAUGGUGUAAUGGUUAGUACUUGGGACUCUGAAUCCAGCAAUCCAAGUUCAAAUUUUGGAGGGACCU